CCAGUUCGAGCUUCCCGGCUGCUUUGGUUACCUAAUCAAGCCUGGGCAAUGGCAGGCGCCCCUCCCCCAGCCUCGCUGCCGCCUUGCAGUUUGAUCUCAGACUGCUGUGCUAGCAAUCAGCGAGACUCCGUGGGCGUAGGACCCUCCGAGCCAGCUGGAAAAGAAGUGCCUGCUCUCAACUCAAGAACCAAUGGCAUCAUCAGUGGAAUUCAAAGGAAGUCCCAUGAUUCUAAAUGAUUCUCAUCUUGGUAUUUAAAGUAUUGCAUGUCAAACUUUAGCAGAAGCUUUGAAACCCUGAGGGAUUUCCCCACUUACUUGCCGGUUCAGCCUUAUGGACAAGAUGUUGCU
rnacentral:lncRNA from 1 species